rnacentral:rRNA from 1 species
GUGGGGAAUAUUGGGCAAUGGACGCAAGUCUGACCCAGCAACGCCGCGUGAAGGAAGAAGGCUUUCGGGUUGUAAACUUCUUUUGUCAGGGAAGAGUAGAAGACGGUACCUGACGAAUAAGCCACGGCUAACUACGUGCCAGCAGCCGCGGUAAUACGUAGGUGGCAAGCGUUGUCCGGAUUUACUGGGUGUAAAGGGCGUGCAGCCGGGCCGGCAAGUCAGAUGUGAAAUCUGGAGGCUUAACCUCCAAACUGCAUUUGAAACUGUAGGUCUUGAGUACCGGAGAGGUUAUCGGAAUUCCUUGUGUAGCGGUGAAAUGCGUAGAUAUAAGGAAGAACACCAGUGGCGAAGGCGGAUAACUGGACGGCAACUGACGGUGAGGCGCGAAAGCGUGGGGAGCAAACAGGA